UCGGCAUCGUCACAGUGGAGCUGGAAGGGGAUGAAGAAUCGGCUCUGGAAUUCGAAACUGGAGCCUUGACGAAUAUAGGAUCUUCUCUAGCGUUGUCCUCGGAGAAUAUGAAGGAGGCGGCGUCGGAUUGAGCUUGUUCGGCAGCGGUGGCGACACUGGUAGAAAGCAUACGGCAGCGAAAUGAAUGAGGUGGAACUAGCGUGGGAUUGGUGAUUCUGA
rnacentral:misc_RNA from 1 species